rnacentral:rRNA from 1 species
GGUGAGUAACGCGUAUCCAACCUUCCGUACACUCAGGGAUAGCCUUUCGAAAGAAAGAUUAAUACCUGAUGGUAUGAUGAGAUUGCAUGAUAGCAUCAUUAAAGAUUUAUCGGUGUACGAUGGGGAUGCGUUCCAUUAGGUAGUAGGCGGGGUAACGGCCCACCUAGCCAACGAUGGAUAGGGGUUCUGAGAGGAAGGUCCCCCACAUUGGAACUGAGACACGGUCCAAACUCCUACGGGAGGCAGCAGUGAGGAAUAUUGGUCAAUGGGCGAGAGCCUGAACCAGCCAAGUAGCGUGAAGGAUGACUGCCCUAUGGGUUGUAAACUUCUUUUAUAUAAGAAUAAAGUGCAGUAUGUAUACUGUUUUGUAUGUAUUAUAUGAAUAAGGAUCGGCUAACUCCGUGCCAGCAGCCGCGGUAAUACGGAGGAUCCGAGCGUUAUCCGGAUUUAUUGGGUUUAAAGGGAGCGUAGGCGGAUUGUUAAGUCAGUUGUGAAAGUUUGCGGCUCAACCGUAAAAUUGCAGUUGAUACUGGCAGUCUUGAGUGCAGUAGAGGUGGGCGGAAUUCGUGGUGUAGCGGUGAAAUGCUUAGAUAUCACGAAGAACUCCGAUUGCGAAGGCAGCUCACUGGACUGCAACU